rnacentral:rRNA from 1 species
UACGUAGGCAGCGAGCGUUGUUCGGAAUUACUGGGCGUAAAGAGUGUGUAGGCGGUGCUCCCAGUCUGUUGUGAAAUCUCCCGGCUUAACUGGGAGGGUGCAGCGGAAACUAGAGUGCUAGAGGGUGGGAGAGGUAAGCGGAAUUCCUGGUGUAGCAGUGAAAUGCGUAGAUAUCAGGAGGAACACCGAUGGCGAAGGCAGGUCUCUGGGCUGACACUGACGCUCAUGCACGAAAGCGUGGGGAGCAAACAGG